CUUUCAUGAAGUUUCAGCUUCCGUGGAGUAUUUGCUGAAAGAUAUUUGGGUGUUUGAACACCCAAACUACUCGUUUCAAUUUCAGACGAUGUUGAUUUAUCUGACAUGGUCACUGACAUGUUAGUAGUAGACAAGUCUAAGAUAUGAAAAAUAUGUAUCAUUUACCAGCAAUAGAUGUCGAACAUGAUGGUGUGUUAUCGCUAAUAAGAGUGUCAUUUAAUGGAACUUGACAUUGUUCAACUAAUGGAACCUCUUCAGUUAAAUUAUCAAAUAUUGUUGGUAUUGCAUCUGCUUUCAGUCUAUUUUUUUGGAAGUUGCUAAACAUUUUGUCUUCGAAAAGCAAAGAGCAUAGCUUUUACUUUUUGUUCAAUAUAACAGGAUCAAUCAACAUUAAUGAUCUGCAAUUGCAUUUUUCCAACCAAAUAGUACAUCUAAAAAUUGUCAGAAGAUUUGCAAAUAAAGAAGCUGCUAAGCAAUUUGAAUGGCGUUUUCAGAAUUGAUUUACCAUAAGCUUGUAAAUAAAAAUAUGUUGUAUAUAAAGGGUUUAAGUAGUAUGAAAAGAAAGAAGUUUUUAUAAAAUAUGGG